UACAGAGGGUGCGAGCGUUAAUCGGAGUUACUGGGCGUAAAGGGCGCGUAGGCGGUAGGAUAAGAUGUGUGUGAAAACCCUGGGCUUAACCUGGGACGUGCAUACAAGACUGUUUUACUAGAGUAUGGUAGAGGGUAGUGGAAUUUCCGGUGUAGCGGUGAAAUGCGUAGACAUCGGAAGGAACACCGGUGGCGAAGGCGGCUACCUGGGCUAAUACUGACGCUGAGGCGCGAGAGCGUGGGGAUCAAACAGG
rnacentral:rRNA from 1 species